GAUGAACGCUGGCGGCGUGCUUAACACAUGCAAGUCGAACGGUGAAGCUCCAGCUUGCUGGAGUGGAUCAGUGGCGUACGGGUGAGUAACACGUGAGCAACCUGCCCCUGACUCUGGGAUAACAGCCGGAAACGGCUGCUAAUACCGGAUAUGCACCAUGAACGCAUGUUCUGUGGUGGGAAAGAUUUUUCGGUUGGGGAUGGGCUCGCGGCCUACCAGCUUGUUGGUGAGGUAAUGGCUCACCAAGGCGUCGACGGGUAGCCGGCCUGAGAGGGUGACCGGCCACACUGGGACUGAGACACGGCCCAGACUCCUACGGGAGGCAGCAGUGGGGAAUAUUGCACAAUGGGCGAAAGCCUGAUGCAGCAACGCCGCGUGAGGGAUGACGGCCUUCGGGUUGUAAACCUCUUUUAGCAGGGAAGAAGCGAGAGUGACGGUACCUGCAGAAAAAGCGCCGGCUAACUACGUG
rnacentral:rRNA from 1 species